CCUGCAAAAUAAUCUUUUUUUUUUCAAUAAACUUGGAAAAUAUGGGCACAGAUACCUUCUGUGACUCGUUCUGACAAUUAUUGACAAUAAUAUAAUGCACUUAAACAUCGCUCCCAUACAAAAUGAAGUGGUUCAAGUCCAUGGGCUGUCCUAUGCUAUCAGGUGUUAUAUCUUCGUUCUCCGGUGGUUUACAAGGUUGUGCCCAUAACAAAAAAUAAAGCUUAGGGUAUAAGCUAUCAUUUGAUAUGCGAACGAAUGGUUUUCAUUGGAUAUACCGGCCAAUUUUACCCAUCAUCCUUUAUGCUUAGCUUAUAACAAUAUGCUUGUUUCUAAAAUAUUGUAGUGCUUGAAUUCGCCUAUUUUUCAUAAUACCUACCUUUAUGAAGGAUCUUACACUAAGCAGUGGCGAGCAGCCCUACACUAUAACAUUUUCGCCUCCUACGUUUGAGAACUCUCUUGGUGUAGGUACUUUGGUUCCAUCACAUGUUUUGGAGGUGACUAAAAUCAAUAUUUUUUUUUAGAAGUCGUCAAAUCCCUUUGUUUUAUCAGACAAAAAAAAAUCGUUUUUCAAUACUUGUUGAGAGCAACUUUCACUUUUGAUAGAAAACGCCAAGUAGGUACAGUAUGGACACGCGGUGCUUUUCCAAGAGUAACAUCGACGCAACUCAGCGUAGUGUAUGUGUAUCGGAAGAUGUAAUGUAAAUGUGUUUCAGCAUAAGAUAAUAAUGUGAAUGGUUCUUUAUUUCCUCAUAAAACCACUGUAAAGUCUGUUUGCGGGCAAGUUUUUCUUGGCGUCGGUUUUCAGACGUUCUCAAACCUUGACUUUUUAGUGCCAAUCAACAAGGCAUCUUUAAUAAUAAAUUUAUUACCAUGUCCUUAUUAAAGUUCGAGUGGUAUGAAUGAAUACUCAUGACAAAACUUUAUUCCUUAUAAUAUACUUGUUUCAGGCGUAUUGAUUGGACUAAAAUGAACAAUUUUAAUGAAGGAAACCUAAAUCAUUAGGUAGGUACCUAAUUUGAGUCCUCAUAAAUAUUUUACUUACUUUAAAUAAAAGUAUGGUGACUAUUUCUAUCUUUCGGUUUUUUUUCUUCAGGCACUUGUCUCACCGGCAACGAUUAACGAGUAACGAGUAGAGCUAGAACUAGAAACGAGUUAGCGAGACGCGGGGAGCGAGUGCGUAGUUCCGAUAUUUGUGUAGCUCGGCUAUAUUAUAUAUAUUAUAUAAGCGAGUGUGCGAGUGAGGCGGGCGAUUACUCGCAUCACUCGCUCGCUAGAUACGCACUGUAGAGAAAUGACCACUGGUUGCUCUCUCGGCGUGAGUUCUCUAAACGCUUGGCGAGUGUCGCCGAGUGAGUGUUAUCUUUCAUAGCUUUUGUCGCUCAGCGACAAACUAGUGAAGCGAGUGCUCGCCGGCAGUGUGAACAGUCAGCGAUGAACUAUUUGUAUAUGCAUCUCUUUUGUUCACUUGGAAAGUAUAUCUAUUGUACGUUUCUUGAGCGAGGAAAUAGCCGAUAGUUAGUCGUUUUCUCGUCGUUGGUGGGACAACUGCCGUCUCCCCGCGUCUCGCUAACUCGUUUCUAGUUCUAGCUCUACUCGUUACUCGUUAAUCGUUGCCGGUGAGACAAGUGCCUAGCUCAGCUUUCAGCCAAGUAGGUAUCCGCUAUUAAAGAAAGUAAAUAUUUUUUGUCCUUGAUUUAAAGAACAAAAUUUAAUUUUUGUUUUACCUAAUUAUAAUUACAUUUAAUUUUAUACCGUACUUAAGCUCACGUCAGUACCAUUACUAUUUAUUUCUCUUCGAGUCGGGAUGUGGUUUAAUUAUAGAUACCGACUAUAUCGGUAAGGACUUUCCACAAUAACGGGUUAUGACUGUGUGCCACGGCAUUAUUCACGGCACCCAGUCAUAAGAGGUUAAAAAAUAAUGAUUCUAAUUAGUCCGCAUUUUAGACUUCCUAAAAAUAUAUAACACUUAUUUUUACAAAAAAAUAAAUAUAAUGCAACAAAGUGAGAUGCGAGUGUGGCGCUCGUUUCGUCGCGUCGUCUGUUUGAAAGUACUCAGACGUGCCGUAAGAAAAAAAAAUCUCGUGUUAUAUCUUCGUCGUUUUUUGUUACUGAGAGAAAAUAAAAAAAUACGGGUUCAUUAUUUUAGUCAUCAUGUCUAUUAUAAUAUUUUAGUUUCGGCCCCAAAAACGGGCUCGAUUAUGCUAAUUUAAUUAUGUGUCAAUUGGAUAUCAACUGCUACUGGGCAUUAAUGAGGAGGGAUGAUACGCAUGCAACAAAGUGAGUGCUAAGUAUGAAUGUAGAUGGAUGGAGAGGAAGUGGAAGACCUAGGAAAAGAUGGAUGGAUUGCCUGAAAGAUGACAUGAAUAGGAAGGGAGUGAGUGUCAGUAUGACGAGUGACAGGGGAAAAUGGAAGAGAAUGACAUAUUGCGCCGACCCCAAGUAAAAUUGGGAACAGGGCAGGAGGAAGAAAAAG
rnacentral:lncRNA from 1 species